rnacentral:rRNA from 1 species
UACGGGGGGAGCAAGCGUUGUUCGGAUUUACUGGGCGUAAAGGGCGCGUAGGCGGCGUGGUAAGUCACUUGUGAAAUCUCCGGGCUUAACUCGGAACGGUCAAGUGAUACUGCUGCGCUAGAGUGCGGAAGGGGCAACUGGAAUUCUCGGUGUAGCGGUGAAAUGCGUAGAUAUCGAGAGGAACACCUGCGGCGAAGGCGGGUUGCUGGGCCGACACUGACGUGGAGGCGCGAAAGCUAGGGGAGCGAACGGG